rnacentral:lncRNA from 1 species
UGAAAGACAUCCACGCUAGCUGGACUGAUCUUCAGACAACAGAUCUGCAUCAGAUAGCUCAUUUCCCAUCUUUGCAAUGAGCCUGUGAUGGGUUCUUGUGAGGCUUUCCCAGAAGAGCUCUGUGGAGUCACAGCACCCCUGAAAGUCCUUCCUCUGCAAUACGCGUGGGCUGCGAUGUCGGCCGUGGUGCCAUUGUUGGACAACAAACAAUAUGUGUCCCCGAGAAUCCUUGGCUACAUCUGGAAAGGCUGAUCUUGAGAAAGCUGACCACAAGGUGGC